UACGGGGGGGGCAAGCGUUGUUCGGAAUUACUGGGCGUAAAGGGCUCGUAGGCGGCCAACUAAGUCAGACGUGAAAUCCCUCGGCUUAACCGGGGAACUGCAUCUGAUACUGGAUGGCUUGAGAUUGGGAGAGGGAUGCGGAAUUCCAGGUGUAGCGGUGAAAUGCGUAGAUAUCUGGAGGAACACCGGUGGCGAAGGCAGCUCGCUGGGACGGUACUGACGCUGAGACGCGAAAGCGUGGGGAGCAAACAGG
rnacentral:rRNA from 1 species